CACUAAGGUGAGCGAGUGAACUAUUGUUAAGGAACUCUGCAAAAUGAGUCCGUAACUUCGGAAGAAGGACUGCUGGUUUUAUACCAGCCGCAGCAAAUAGGCCCAAACAACUGUUUAUCAAAAACACAGGUUUCUGCAAAAUCGUAAGAUGAAGUAUAGGGGCUGACGCCUGCCCAGUGCUGGAAGGUUAAAAGGAGGACUUAGCUUCGGCGAAGGUCUUAAUUGAAGCCCCAGUGAACGGCGGCCGUAACUAUAACGGUCCUAAGGUAGCGAAAUUCCUUGUCGGGUAAGUUCCGACCCGCAUGAAAGGCGUAAUGAUUUGGGCGCUGUCUCAACAAUAGACUCGGUGAAAUUUAAAUUCCAGUGAAGAUGCUGGGUACCCGCGACAGGACGGAAAGACCCCGUGGAGCUUUACUGUAGCUUGAUAUUGAAUGUUUGUGCUGCAUGUGCAGGAUAGGUAGGAGACUUUGAAGUCGGAACGCUAGUUUCGAUUGAGUCACCCUUGAGAUACUACCUCUGUUGUAUGAACGUUCUAACUCUGAUCAGUUAUCCUGAUCGAAGACAGUGUCUGGCAGGCAGUUUGACUGGGGCGGUCGCCUCCUAAAAGAUAACGGAGGCGCUCAAAGGUUUGCUCAGAAUGGUUGGAAAUCAUUCGUAGCGUGUAAAGGCAUAAGCAAGCUUGACUGUGAGACUGACAAGUCGAGCAGGUACGAAAGUAGGACUUAGUGAUCCGGUGGUUCCGUAUGGAAGGGCCAUCGCUCAACGGACAAAAGCUACCCCGGGGAUAACAGGCUCAUCUCCCCCAAGAGUCCACAUCGACGGGGAGGUUUGGCACCUCGAUGUCGGCUCAUCGCAUCCUGGGGCUGUAGU
rnacentral:rRNA from 1 species